rnacentral:precursor_RNA from 1 species
GGCUGGUCAGAAGGUAGUGAGUUAUCCCACUUACUGUUCAGUUACAGACUGAACUUCUGGCUCUACUACCUUACCCCUUCUCA